UACGAGUGCCCCGAGCGUUAUCCGGAAUCAUUGGGCGUAAAGGGUGUGUAGGUGGUCAUAUUAGUCUUCUGUUAAAUUCUUCGGCUUAACCGGGGGCAUGCAGGGGAAACGGUAUGACUAGAGGAUGCGAGAGGUGUGUGGAACUCUAAGUGUAGGGGUGAAAUCCGUUGAUAUUUAGGGGAACACCAAAAGCGAAGGCAGCACACUGGCGCAUUCCUGACACUGAGACACUAAAGCGUGGGUAGCGAAUGGG
rnacentral:rRNA from 1 species